rnacentral:tRNA from 1 species
AGGAUUUAUGUUAAGCCAAACUCUCAACCUUCAAAGUUGAACAUAGAUUUAUAUCUAAGCCUUA